rnacentral:rRNA from 1 species
AGUGAACGCUGGCGGCAGGCCUAAUACAUGCAAGUCGAACGGCAGCACAGCAGAGCUUGCUCUGUGGGUGGCGAGUGGCGGACGGGGUGAGGAAUACGUGGGAAUCUGCCCAGUCGUGGGGGAUAACGUAGGGAAACUUACGCUAAUACCGCAUGCGCCCUUCGGGGAAAGCCGGGGACCUUCGGGCCUGGCGCGAUUGGAUGAGCCCACGUCGGAUUAGCUAGUUGGCGGGGUAAAGGCCCACCAAGGCGACGAUCCGUAGCUGGUCUGAGAGGAUGAUCAGCCACACUGGAACUGAGACACGGUCCAGACUCCUACGGGAGCAGCAGUAGGGAAUAUUGGACAAUGGGCGCAAGCCUGAUCCAGCCAUGCCGCGUGAGUGAAGAAGGCCC